ACAUUCCCCCCGCAAGGGGGAGACGUUGGAAUGCAACGUCGGUUUGAGUAAAAAGAGUGACGAAUGGAGAACUAGGGUGCACUAAAGAGGACGGAGCCCCCCGAAAUGGCGGAGGAGAGACUUUGAAGCCCUAAUGUCCCGCGCGGCAACGCAGCGGGGGGGCCAGGGGAGCGAAACAUCCCAGUACCGGGCCCCCCACCCCCCCCUCCCACCCCAUAGUGGGUGUUUAGGGGGGGGGCACAGUAAAAAUCAAACGAGAUUCCGUAAGUAGCGGCGAGCGAAAGCGGACGAGCCCUUUCCUGUAGGCCCCCCGGCCCUGGCCGGGGGGCGGGCGAGUAGUGAUGGGAAGAUGGGUGUCCACACAUCCAAGGCUUAACAAUUAGUGUCACACCGAAAGAGAGGAGUACUGUAAAGGAAAGUUGAAAGAGGCUUGAAAAGACCUUGAAAUGAGUCACUUAAAGCAGUUGUAACACAACGUACCUUUUGCAUAAUGGGUCCACGAGAUAAAAUUUGGCAAACUUAAAGUGCAAUCUCACAGCCACCCCGCUGCGUUAUCGCGCGGGGAUGGCUGGGGGGAUUGUUCUUGGCCCCCUAAGGUGUAGUGAAAGCAAGGGGGGGGGAAUACCCCCACCCCUCAGUCAAAUUUCCCGAAACCAAGUGAUCUAGCCAUGGGCAGUUUUUAGGAACGAACCGGUGGUUGUUGCAAAAAUCUCGGAUGACCUGUGGUUAGGGGCGAAACGCCAAUCGAACUUGGAGAUAGCUGGUUUUCUGCGAAAACUAUUGAAGUAGUGCGUGCACAGUAAUGAGAGCCCCGCCCCCUUCGGAGGCAGGGGCGUGAGAAUGGCUUGGAAUGUGGUAAAGCCCGACCCCCCGAAGCCGGGGGAUUAACUAUGAAGAAAAAAAGCCAGAGUGGCACAGACAGACUGUGGGCGAUAAGGUCGACGGUCAAAAGGGGAGAAGCCCUAACCAGAAGUUAAAGUCAUUAAUAAAAGAUUUAGUGUAAAAGAGAUAUUGGGUUUAGACAAUGAAGAAGUAGGCUUGGAGCCAGCCACCUUUGAGAGAUGACGUAGCAGUUCACUCAAGAAAUUCUUUUAUCUCUAAAAUUAUGGUGGCUAAAGUUGAACUGAAACUCUGGGGGCGAAAUAACAAGGUGGGGUUCCCCUAGAUUAUGCAACCCUCAAGGGGGUUCUAUAAAGCUUAUGGGAACGAACCCCCCGCUCGCUCUCUAAUGUUAGAGAGCGGCCUCCUUACCAUUAAGGGGGGUAUAUUUGCCCGGUAGCAGAACGUACUGUUAAUUGUUCAGUGAGAGCCCGCACGGCAUCAGAAGUGAUAAUGUGGACAUGAGUAAAAAAUCAUAGCAUCACUCCCCCCCUGGUUUCCCAUAUUAAUUAUGGGGUUAAACAGCCCCUAAAAUCGCAGCCCCAAAGGUUGCGUUGAUGGGGGGCCAUGAGUAAUAGACGCACAAAGUGCCAGGAAAGAAUUAUUCAAGCUCUUCCCAGAAGGCCUCCUUCUGGCAAGGGUACUGUACUAAACUAACUAAAGUGGGGGAUAGUGAGGGGAUAAAUUUUCUUAAGGAACUCGGCAAAAUCCCAAUGGCCCACCAGGGCAUAUUGGAACACGGGCCUCGACUGUUUACCAAAAACAUAGCCCUCGGCUAAUAUGAAAAUAGAUGUAUAGAGGGUGAUGCCUGCCCAAUGGUUGUAUCUAAAAGCGGUUGAUAAAAGUCGACCUCGUAAGGACAACUAAAUGGCCGCGGUAACACUGA
rnacentral:rRNA from 1 species